UACGUAGGGGGCUAGCGUUGUCCGGAAUCAUUGGCGUAAAGCGCGCGUAGGCGGCCCGGUAAGUCCGCUGUGAAAGUCCAGGGCUCAACCCUGGGAUGCCGGGUGGAUACUGUCGGGCUAGAGUACGGAAGAGGCGAGUGGAAUUCCCGGUGUAGCGGUGAAAUGCGUAGAGAUCGGGAGGAACAUCUGUGGCGAAGGCGGCCAAUCGUGGCC
rnacentral:rRNA from 1 species